rnacentral:rRNA from 1 species
UACAUGCAAGUCGAGCGGAAACGAUCCUAGCUUGCUAGGAGGCGUCGAGCGGCGGACGGGUGAGUAGUGCAUAGGAAUCUGCCCGGUAGUGGGGGAUAACCUGGGGAAACCCAGGCUAAUACCGCAUACGCCCUACGGGGGAAAGCAGGGGAUCUUCGGGCCUUGCGCUAUCGGAUGAGCCUAUGUCGGAUUAGCUAGUUGGUGAGGUAACGGCUCACCAAGGCUGCGAUCAGUAGCUGGUCUGAGAGGAUGAUCAGCCACAUUGGGACUGAGACACGGCCCAAACUCCUACGGGAGGCAGCAGUGGGGAAUCUUGCGCAAUGGGCGAAAGCCUGACGCAGCCAUGCCGCGUGAAUGAUGAAGGUCUUAGGAUUGUAAAAUUCUUUCGCCGGGGACGAUAAUGACGGUACCCGGAGAAGAAGCCCCGGCUAACUUCGUGCCAGCGGCCGCGGUAAUACGAAGGGGGCUAGCGUUGCUCGGAAUUACUGGG